ACAUGUGAUGAUUCAGUUGAUAGGAAUUGCCGUCUGAUCGAUAAAUGACGCUAAACUUCACUAUCUGAUG